rnacentral:rRNA from 7 species
AAAUUGAAGAGUUUGAUCAUGGCUCAGAUUGAACGCUGGCGGCAGGCCUAACACAUGCAAGUCGAACGGUAACAGGAAGCAGCUUGCUGCUUUGCUGACGAGUGGCGGACGGGUGAGUAAUGUCUGGGAAACUGCCUGAUGGAGGGGGAUAACUACUGGAAACGGUGGCUAAUACCGCAUAACGUCGCAAGACCAAAGAGGGGGACCUUCGGGCCUCUUGCCAUCAGAUGUGCCCAGAUGGGAUUAGCUUGUUGGUGAGGUAACGGCUCACCAAGGCGACGAUCCCUAGCUGGUCUGAGAGGAUGACCAGCCACACUGGAACUGAGACACGGUCCAGACUCCUACGGGAGGCAGCAGUGGGGAAUAUUGCACAAUGGGCGCAAGCCUGAUGCAGCCAUGCCGCGUGUAUGAAGAAGGCCUUCGGGUUGUAAAGUACUUUCAGCGGGGAGGAAGGUGUUGUGGUUAAUAACCGCAGCAAUUGACGUUACCCGCAGAAGAAGCACCGGCUAACUCCGUGCCAGCAGCCGCGGUAAUACGGAGGGUGCAAGCGUUAAUCGGAAUUACUGGGCGUAAAGCGCACGCAGGCGGUCUGUCAAGUCGGAUGUGAAAUCCCCGGGCUCAACCUGGGAACUGCAUUCGAAACUGGCAGGCUUGAGUCUUGUAGAGGGGGGUAGAAUUCCAGGUGUAGCGGUGAAAUGCGUAGAGAUCUGGAGGAAUACCGGUGGCGAAGGCGGCCCCCUGGACAAAGACUGACGCUCAGGUGCGAAAGCGUGGGGAGCAAACAGGAUUAGAUACCCUGGUAGUCCACGCCGUAAACGAUGUCUACUUGGAGGUUGUGCCCUUGAGGCGUGGCUUCCGGAGCUAACGCGUUAAGUAGACCGCCUGGGGAGUACGGCCGCAAGGUUAAAACUCAAAUGAAUUGACGGGGGCCCGCACAAGCGGUGGAGUAUGUGGUUUAAUUCGAUGCAACGCGAAGAACCUUACCUGGUCUUGACAUCCACAGAAGAAUCCAGAGAUGGAUUUGUGCCUUCGGGAACUGUGAGACAGGUGCUGCAUGGCUGUCGUCAGCUCGUGUUGUGAAAUGUUGGGUUAAGUCCCGCAACGAGCGCAACCCUUAUCCUUUGUUGCCAGCGAUUAGGUCGGGAACUCAAAGGAGACUGCCAGUGAUAAACUGGAGGAAGGUGGGGAUGACGUCAAGUCAUCAUGGCCCUUACGACCAGGGCUACACACGUGCUACAAUGGCGCAUACAAAGAGAAGCGACCUCGCGAGAGCAAGCGGACCUCAUAAAGUGCGUCGUAGUCCGGAUUGGAGUCUGCAACUCGACUCCAUGAAGUCGGAAUCGCUAGUAAUCGUGGAUCAGAAUGCCACGGUGAAUACGUUCCCGGGCCUUGUACACACCGCCCGUCACACCAUGGGAGUGGGUUGCAAAAGAAGUAGGUAGCUUAACCUUCGGGAGGGCGCUUACCACUUUGUGAUUCAUGACUGGGGUGAAGUCGUAACAAGGUAACCGUAGGGGAACCUGCGGUUGGAUCACCUCCUUACCUGAAAGAAGC